CUCCUAUCAUGCAGUCGAGCGAAUCGAUGGGAGCUUGCUCCCUGAGAUUAGCGGCGGACGGGUGAGUAACACGUGGGCAACCUGCCUAUAAGACUGGGAUAACUUCGGGAAACCGGAGCUAAUACCGGAUACGUUCUUUUCUCGCAUGAGAGAAGAUGGAAAGACGGUUUUGCUGUCACUUUUAAAUGGGGCCCCGGCGCAUUAACUAGUUGGGGAGGGAAUGGGUCACCCAGGGGACGAUGCGUAGCCCAACUGAGAGGGGGAUCGGGCACACUGGGACUGAGACACGGCCCCAACUCCUACGGGAGGGAGCAGUAGGGAAUCUUCCCCAAUGGACGAAAGUCUGACGGAACAACCCCCCGUGAACCAAAAAAGCCUUCGGGUCGUAAAAUUCUGUUGUUAGGGAAAAACAAGUACCAAAAUAACUGCUGGUACCUUGACGGUACCUAACCCGAAAGCCACGGCUAACUACGUGCCAGCAGCCGCGGUAAUACGUAAGUGGGAAGCGUUGUCCGGAAUUAUUGGGCGUAAAGCGCGCGCAAGUGGUUCCUUUAGUCUGAUGUGAAAGCCCACCGCUCAACCGUGGAGGGUCAUUGGAAACUGGGGAACUUGAGUGCAGAAGAAGAAAGUGGAAUAUUCAGUGGUAGCGGUGAAAUGCGUAGAGAUUUUGGAAGAACACAGUUGCGAAGCGGACUUUCUUGUCUGUUACUGACACUGAGGCGCGAAGCGUGGGGAGCAAACAGAUUUAAUACCUGGUAGUCACGCGUAACGAUGAGUGCUAAUGUAGAGGUUUCCGCCUUUAGUGCUGCAGCUACGCAUAAGCACUCCGCUGGGAGUACCGCGCAAGCUGAACUCAAGAUGACGGCCGCAGCGUGACAUGUGGUAUCAGCACCGAGACUUACAGGCUGAAUCUCUGACACUAAGAAAGCGUCCUUAGACAUGAAGGGGCAUGUGUCACUGUCGAGUUGUACUCGACAGCACUGACUAUGACAUCAUGACGUAGUAUCUGGUAACCGAAGUGUAGUUAUCUGCUGACGGUACCGUCAUGAGUAC
rnacentral:rRNA from 2 species